rnacentral:rRNA from 1 species
UACGUAGGGUACGAGCGUUAAUCGGAAUUACUGGGCGUAAAGCGUGCGCAGGCGGUUCGUUGUGUCGGCGGUGAAAGCCCCGGGCUCAACCUGGGAAUGGCCGUUGAAACUGGCGAACUGGAGUGUGGCAGAGGGGGGUGGAAUUCCGCGUGUAGCAGUGAAAUGCGUAGAGAUGCGGAGGAACACCGAUGGCGAAGGCAGCCCCCUGGGCUGACACUGACGCUCAGGCACGAAAGCGUGGGGAGCAAACAGG